CCUACGGGAGGCAGCAGUGGGGAAUAUUGGACAAUGGGGGCAACCCUGAUCCAGCGAUGCCGCGUGUGUGAAGAAGGCCUGCGGGUUGUAAAGCACUUUCGGUGGGGAGGAAGGCCUUAUAUUGAAUAGGUAUGAGGAUUGACGUUACCCACAGAAGCAGCACCGGCUAACUCUGUGCCAGCAGCCGCGGUAAUACAGAGGGUGCGAGCGUUAAUCGGAAUAACUGGGCGUAAAGGGCGCGUAGGUGGGUAGAUAAGUAGGUUGUGAAAUACCCGGGCUUAACCUGGGGAGGACGGCCUAGACUGUUUAUCUAGAGUACAGUAGAGGGAAGUGGAAUUUCCGGUGUAGCGGUGAAAUGCGUAGAUAUCGGAAGGAACACCAGUGGCGAAGGCGACUUUCUGGACUGAUACUGACACUGAGGCGCGAAAGCGUGGGUAGCG
rnacentral:rRNA from 1 species